rnacentral:misc_RNA from 1 species
GCUAGGUGGCCAUAAUUUAAUUGAGAAAGGGUGGUGUUGUGACUUCAUUGUUGCAGUAUCCAUUGCAAAAUAAGAAGCAAGGCGGGGUCAGCUUCAGCUAUAUGGAUGCUUUUCCCCAACUGCAGCUAUGUGAAAAUAAGACCGAAAUUAAAGAUUUCCAGAAACUCACAGUUCUGCAAAGCAACAAUAGGGUUGAAAAUGGUAGGAAAAUAAACAAGAUUGCAAAAAGAAGAGAGAGAAACGAAAAUAUUUGAAAAUAAAAUUUACAGAAGGUUUUUGAUUCCUAUGAAUUUCACCAGCAGCAUUAAUCCAUUAGUUCAAGGAGACGUAUUGCAAAAUAUUUGCUCAUCUACCUAUUCAAUUUCUUUUAAAUAGACACUAUUACAGUAUUACCUUUUAGACUAGAGAAAUGGUGCCCUAUACCACAAAGCGACAGAACUGGAUGGUUUAACAUUCCUAUGCAUGCAGUUCUCUGCCUCAUUAAUUUUAUUUCAUGGGCAGACCAUGAGUUUUCUGCAACUAUUAACAAAGUAUGGGAAGUCUUUGUCCAAUGUAUCAACGAAGUAAAACGGUGUUCCAUAGCCACCAGAAAUACAACAGACGAAGUGACAGGGAAAACAAUACACAAAGCAGCAAACCCCAAGCAAGAGAGAGAGAGAGAGAACGAGCACGAAGACCUAAUGCGCCGAGAAGAUGCCGGGUUAAUUUCAUGAAAAAGAGCUCCAAAUGAAACAGACGUACAAGUAAAAUUGUACAUUUCCUCACAGG